UACAGAGGGUGCAAGCGUUGUUCGGAAUUAUUGGGCGUAAAGGGCGCGUAGGCGGCGCUGUAAGUCGGAUGUGAAAUCCCAGGGCCUAACCCUGGAAGUGCGUUCGAUACUGCAGUGCUUGAGUCUCGGAGAGGGUGGUGGAAUUCCCAGUGUAGAGGUGAAAUUCGUAGAUAUUGGGAGGAAUACCGGUGGCGAAGGCGACCACCUGGACGAUGACUGACGCUGAGGCGCGAAAGCGUGGGGAGCAAACAGG
rnacentral:rRNA from 1 species